CCUCCAUUGCUUUUUACUCCAACCCCUUCAAUUAGAGGAUGGAAUCCAUCCUUUUCCGAUCCUCUCUCUCUCCACCAUUCUUUCGAUCUCUUUCUGGAAUCCUUUCCUCUCUCUUGCCAGAUGCCAAAUGGGACCUCUCCCCACUCUCGUUAUUUAACUGCGACCACGUUGCCUUUAAGCAUUUACUAAGAUUCCAAGACUGCACCAUCUUCUCUCAAACUUAGUGGCCGAAUACCAUGGACCAAACUCCGGCCACCGGCGAGAAUCACGGACACUUCUCUGUGCCCAAGAGUGGGUGCAUGCUAGGGUAUCUCCUCAAGAAGACCGAGCGCCGCUAUGUGCCCAAGCGUGGCGGCGUCUUGAAAGGCAUAUUACGGUGCCCCUGCUUUGGCUCGCCACGCCGAAUCGGAGAGGCGUCGUAGUGGAUCGUCGGAGAGGUGGAGUACUCUGGAGUUGUGCAUAAAUAAAGCAUGCUGACUAUAAGAUAAUGUUUAUCUAAAACUACUGUGAACCUUAAAGCAAUCUAUUCUAUGUAAAUUUGUUCUGAGCCUUGUCUUCCCCUGUUUUUGACC
rnacentral:lncRNA from 1 species